UUACGUGUAUCCUACUGUACUAAGGCGAGUGCAGCAGGCGCCAAAAACAAACUGCCGACGAGGCAGGAUGAGUAAAAUUAAACAACGGCCGGGUGGGAGCCAACGCGAAAGCCAACAACAGGCUUGCAUUGCAGCAGCUCGAUCUCGAUCGACCAGGGGAUUCCUAGUUCACCAGGUGGCCUGCACUGCACAAACGCAAACAGAAUCUUGAGCGCCCCCAAACUUUUGGCAGCAGGAUGCAUCCACAUGCAGAUGGGUGUAUGUAUAUUCAUGUACUUUUGCUCUCUGACUGCAUCUUUUACCAGCUUUCUCAUCUGGUUCAAGAAUCUCUCGAUCUCUCCUGUGUUUCAGUCCGUGUGCAUAUUAACACACGGAUGGCAGGACUGAAAACUAGGGGAUGGAACCGGGAGUACUCAGCUGCUCUUGAUGUGGGGCGUGGGGAGGCUCCACUUCACGUGCAUGGCGAUGAUAUCGAUCGGCAUCAAGCUUUACACUAGUUCUGAUCCUGGUAUGGUACGUACGGUUCAUUUUUUAAAAAAUGUCGAAAAAAGAAGCUAAAGCAGUGCGUUGAAUAACAGAGGGAAAAUGAAUGGGUUGAUGAAGUGGCCAAACAACAACUAAUGCAAGAUUAUUGUAUUCGCAUACGUACGUAUAUGUACUAGAUAUCUGUUUUCUCUCGAUAUAUAUUCUUCCAGUUCAGUCUAUGUGAACAACUCACCUGAAGCUUGCAACAAGCACAGUCCAAGUGGAGUAGAUUAUAUUAGCAGGCGAUGAUGCAAGAUUCCUUCCCUGCAUCAUGUGCAUGCAUGCUAAUUAAUCAAGAGCAGCAGAUGCAGAUGGACCCAAAUUAACAGGCGGCAAUUGGCAGCACCCAAAGCUAGCUAUAGCCCAAUCAGGCAAUUAGUUUAUCCUGAAUAUGAACCACCACGCACAUGGUCCGAUUAGUUAGAAUGUCAACACGGCUAAUCGAGCUAGCAAACGUGAAAUCUGCUUGCAGGUAGCUGCAUUCCGCUAAUGGUCCGAUGGAAUCGAUGUAUCGAUGCAUGAAUGGAUGCAUUAAUUCCAUCGGACUAUUGGCGGAAUAUGCAGCUGCAAUUCUAACUAAUUUUCCUGUUUUUCUGCCUCUCUUAUGCUCUGUGUUCACAUGGUAGAGCAGCUAGCUAGGAGGUUAGAUGACGAGUACACAGUUUGUCAGUGUUGACAUUAUUAUAUUUCUAAUGAAAGCUUGGCACUUUGGCUCCUAAAUUAAUAAGAGUUUUUCCUUCCAUAUCAAAAAGUGCAAUUCAUGUUUUUUUUGGAGAAAUGAUACAAAACAAAUACCAUCAGAUUGAUCAUGAGAUGUAUUUUCAUACUAAGCUUAGUUGGUGACAUAAAUAUCAGCACCAUUUGUUAUUGACUUGAUCAAAGUGAAAAAUAAUUCUCUCACGCAAAUUGUGUAGUUGCAUUUUUAAGGGGACAGAGAGAGAGGAGUAUACUCCUAGUAACUAAGUUUAUGUAUGUAUGUAUGUUGUAUAAUGAUCCUGAUAUCCAAUCUAUACUAUACUUAAAGCACCAGUUUCAACGGUCGUCUCGCGUCAUCUUUUUAUAAAUAACCCCUCACAGCUAUUUCAAAUUAGUCUAUUGCACGCCAGACACCCCGCGGGCCACAACUCUGGCUCAGACACGUCAUGUCGGCCUGCUGACUGCGUCAGGACAGCCUGUUAGCCCGUCGACCCAUUUGAUUAAACCAGCGUAAAAUGUUAAAAAUGGUGCAGGAGAUAGGUUCGAACACAUGUCAUGAUGGAAGAAAGACGAGAGACACUAGGUACAAUUGUUUAACCAGUAGAAUAUUAUGCUCAGAUGUUUUUAAUAUUGAAUAUAAAUUAUAUAUAUGUAUAUACAUUUUUUGUGAAAUAAAAAAUAUAUAAUCGUAUCGGGCCGGACCUGCACUACGGGCCGAGGCUACAUCCCAAGCACGUCACGACAUUCUUGGCUCUUGCAAACAUUAGAUCGUUUCUGAGACCACAUUGGCGCAAUGGACUCCAUGGUGUUUGAGGUUGCUGAAUUGGAUGGAGCAACAAUAAUUUGUCACACUAACAGUAAAAUGAAAGGUUAUUUGUUAGUUUUAAACGUUAGUAAUUGCUACGAAGUAGCAUAAUUUAUAUGGAGCUAAGAAGUCACAUGAACUCAAACUUAUAAAAAAGAUAUAUCAAAAUAUGGAGUGAUUGCUAAAGUCAGACAUCAAUAAAAACUUUCUCUUAGGUCUCUGUAUGAUAGAAUUAUGUUAUUUUAUAAUCUAUGUUCGUUCAGUCAGUCAUUAUGAACUCUCUUCUAAUCGCUCACUUUAUUGGUCAUGUUAUAUUGGAUUGAGUAAAUAAUAACAUCAGUUAGCCAAAUUUUUUAAAAAAUAUUAUAGUGGAGACAAUCAAUAAAAAAUAUUAAAUUUUUUGGUGGAUACUUUAUAUGGAUAUUGUUGUAAGCCGUCGCAACGCACGGGCAAUCGACUAGUUUAAAUAUAUAUGCCAGUGUCAUACUAUUUUAGGCUAUUCCCAGUCCAAAAUAUUAUAGUCCAAUAUCCAAUAAUGCCACAUAGGAUGAAAAGUAUGAUACCGCUACAAGAUACACCUUCUGUAGUGUAUAGUAUUAUAGUUAUAUGUUUUAAUUAUUUAAUUGGUGUGAUGUUGUGUCUAUGAGAACGGACCCCAAGUAUUAUUUUUUGUGCCACAACCUAAGAUAUGGUGUCUGUCGGGGAGGAAAUCUCCCCGGCCGGGUGGCGAAUUGCACCCGCCCUAAAUCCUAAAGAGAGGAGGGGCCUAAGCGUUUUGCUUGCUACGAGACUGGUGGAUCAACACACGAGAGCACGCGAGGGUUUAGAGUGGUUCGGGCCGCCGGAGCGUAAUACCCUACUCCACUGUGUGAUGUAUUGCUUAGGAGCUUGUAUGAACUUGAGAGUGUCUGCCUAGAGUUGGGUCUCGUAACGUCGCAUGCAUCCCCUUUUAUAGCUGAAGGGGGGCAUGCACAAAGGCACUGAGCCCCGAAAUGUGGGUCCAGGGACAUAGAGAAUAUAACGCUUGGGACUAUAAAUAUUUGUUGUCGGGGCAAUCCCCUUGUGUCCUGUCGUCCGAGAUCUGUGGAUCUUCGGCGUGCAGGGGAAGAUUCUUGUAGAAGGGAUAACACAUUGUGCUGCUUGGCACGGACGCACUGUUCGCCAGCAGACCCAGCAGGCGCGCCACCUGCUGGAUGACCUUGACGCCGCCUGCCAGCGGAUGGGACGGGACACAUUAAAUGUUGAAAGGGCACGUCGCCCGUCAGCGCAGUGACAGGCGGCGCGUCCUCUCCUCAAUAAAUGCAGGGGCUACACGGCUUUACGUCAGGCUCGGCCCGAUGGCUUAUGUCAUGGGCCACAAGCAGCGGGCCUUCGCCUGGGCAGGGAGCAGAGAGCAAGGCCUGCACAUGUGUCGGCAUUGGACCCAUGUAUCCCCCAAGGUCCUUCUCGUUCCGGAACCCUGCCGGGGUUCGGACCUACCCUGGGGCUCCGGACCUUUAUGUAUAUAGGGGCCCGGUGACCCUCUAAGGGGGUUUGGUCUUACUGAGGCAUGGUGCCUUUCCUCGCCAUGUGACGCCCUUUGGCCCGCCCAUCCGGUGGAGUUAGGCGCGGUCCUCCGCGCGGCCAGGAGACGUCGCAGGGGUGCGAUGCCUUUAUGCUGUAGGAGAGGGUACCCCUGAUUUAGGGUACCGACAGUGGCCCCCGGUCCCGCCUCAGGGGAGGGUGCGAGCCUGCAUGUGGGACCAGAGUCUGUCUGGUGGUUGGACCGCUGCUUCCGUGCGCCUGUUGCUGCAAUUAUUGUCGGCCCGCUUAUGACCCCGCCAACUGCCGUGCCUAUUCUUACAGCUGGCUGAUCCGUGACUGUCGUACUUAACGACAUUGCUUGGCCAUGCGCGGGGCUGCCUCGAGUCGCUGCACUGGUUCUGAAAAAUUUACCUUUUCAGAAUUCGUGACAGUCCCGAGAAGACAAGGCAUUGGCGCAGGCGGCGAUGCGGCUUCUUUGCACACGGUAACCGGUGCGUCGGUUACAUGACGUGUGGGCCUGGGCCCCUGAGUUGGACCGCCAGUUGUGGCGGAGCUGAGGGAGCGCACAGCCAUGGGACGGUUGUACGCUUCUUGCGCGACGGUUUGCCUCUUUGACCGCUGGAUACGGCGAAGAUGAAAGGACGCUUAAUCGUGGGGCGGUUGCAUGCCCCUUGCACGGCGGUCCGCCUUCCUAACUGCUAGUUGCCCCGAAAAUGAAGGGGCGCGUAACCGCAGGGCAGUCGCACGCUCCCUCUUAGGGUCAGUUUGCAUGACAUGUGGGGCCUGGCCCCCAUGUCAUAAGGUGGGAUCCUUGGUGCACACUGGGGGAGACUUCACUCGUGACGCUUCAGGGGCGCGAGCGGGAAGAUCUGCCUUUAAAAAGGGGGUCGAUCUCCCGGUCAGUAGUCAUGCCUCGCUCCUCUUGCGACCACCGCACCCUUUCGCCUUCUGGGCCUCCAAAUGGUGUGCGCCGGUGUUCUCUGGAGGGAUCCGCGGCAAGGCCGUCUCUUCCGACGACUUCACCAUGGGAGAGCGUGCACUCGUGGUGGUGUCGCCGAUCUUGUCUUCUUUCCGCUGCUGUUGGAGGGGUGCAACCCCAUGGGAGUUGGUAUCCUUCUACCACCAUUUGGCUUCAAGGAUUUUCAUCAUGCAGCCCGGCUGUAGUCCCCCGCCGAUGGUCACCCAGAAGAAUGACCACCAGCCUCGUGGUGGGGAGAAGCAAGCCUGAAAGGGAAAUGUGCCCUUGGGCCAUUUCUAAGUAUUUUGGUGAUUUAGUGUCCAACACAAGUGCCUAAGUGUUAAAUGGUGGACAAAGUACAAAUCGAGUAUAAAGGUAUGUUUCUCAGACUUAGUACAUUGUUUUAGAGACUAAUGUAUUGUGUCUAAGUGCUGGAAAUAGGAUAAUCAAGUUGAAACUAAAGAUGGCUUUGUUCAGCCAAAGUCAGCCCUGUCUGGGUGCACCGGACUGUCCGGUGGUGCAACAGACAGUGUCCGGUGGUGCACCGGACAUUGUCCGGUGGUGCACCGGACAUUGUCCGGUGCGCCAGGCUAGCUCAGGCGAACUUGCUGCUCUCGGGAAGUGAUUAACAGCGUACGACUAUAAUUCACCGGACUGUCCGGUGUGCACCGGACUGUCCGGUGAGCCAACGGUCGGCCGGGCCAACGGUCGGCCGUACGAUCCGCGCGAGACACGUGGUCGAGCCAACGGUCAGAAGGGGGCACCGGACUGUCUGGUGUGCACCGGACAGUGUCCGGUGCGCCAACGGCUCUCAAGUGCCAACGGUCGGCUUCGCCAAAGAAGGAAAGAAAUCCGCACCGGACAGUGUCCGGUGGUGCACCGGACUGUCCGGUGCGCCAGGCGACAGAAGGCAAGAAUUGCCUUCUUGAAUUGCUCUCAAUGGCUCCUAGCUGCCUUGGGGCUAUAAAAGGGACCCCUAGGCGCAUGGAGGAGAACACCAAGCAUUCUCUAAGCAUUCCUAAGCACCAAGACUUCGAUUCCGCGCAUUUGAUUCUUUGUGAUAGCAAUUGGAGCUCUAUUUGAGUUGUGAACUCAUCGAGUUGUGUUGUGAGCUCUUGUUGCGACUUGUGUGCGUGUUGUCGCUCUGAUUUUGUGUCUUGUGUGCGUUGCUCAUCCCUUCCUUACUCUGUGCUUCUUUGUGAACAUCAAAGUGUAAGGGCGAGAGACUCCAAGUUGUGGAGAUUCCUCGCAAGUGGGAUAUAGUAAAGUGAAAGCAAAACACCGUGGUAUUCAAGUGGGUCUUUGGACCGCUUGAAAGGGGUUGAUUGCAACCCUCGUCCAUUGGGACGCCACAACGUGGAGUAGGCAAGUGUUGGACUUGGCUGAACCACGGGAUAAACCACUGUGCCACCUCUGUGUUGAUCUCUUUGUGGUUAUCGUGUUGUGCAAGCUCUCUUCUCUAGCCACUUGGCUUAAUUGUGCUAACUCCUAAUCAAGUUUUGUGGAUUAAGUUUCAAGUUUUCAUAGGAUCACCUAUUCACCCCCCCUCUAGGUGCUCUCAAUUGGUAUCGGAGCCAUUCUCUUCAAGAAAGGGACUAAUCGCCCGAAGAGAUGGAUCCUAAGGGCAAGGGGAUUGUGAUCAAUGAUAAGGAGAAGGAGUCCUUCGUCAACGAGCCAAAAGAUGACAAGCCUACCAACUCGGGCUCGGGCCACAAACGAAAAGAUGGAAAGAAGAAGAAGACGAGGCACAUCAAGGAGAUUGUCUACUACGACGACAGCGACGAGUCCUCUUCUUCCCAAAAGGACGACGACAACGACUACGAGAAAAAGAAGACGGUUAACUCAAACUUCUCUUUCAAUUAUUCUCGUAUUCCGCAUAGCUCAAAUGCACAUUUGCUUUCCAUUCCUCUUGGCAAACCUCCUCAUUUUGAUGGAGAGGACUACGGAUUUUGGAGUCACAAAAUGCGUAGUCACUUGUUCUCUCUCCAUCCUAGUAUAUGGGAGAUAGUAGAGAGUGGAAUGAAAUUUGAUAGCUCAGAUAGUCCGUUGUUUAUCAAUGAACAGAUUCAUAAAAAUGCACAAGCUACUACUGUGUUGUUAGCCUCAUUGUGCAGGGACGAGUACCAUAAGGUGAGCGGCUUGGACAAUGCCAAGCAGAUUUGGGACACCCUCAAGAUCUCACAUGAGGGGAACGACGUCACCAUGCUCACCAAGAUGGAGUUGGUGGAAGGCGAACUCAGGAGAUUCGCGAUGAUAAGAGGGGAGGAGCCAACCCAGACGUACAACAGGCUCAAAACUCUCGUCAACAAGAUAAGGAGCUAUGGAAGCACGCGAUGGACGGACCAUGACGUUGUCCGCCUAAUGCUAAGGUCCUUUACCGUCCUUGAUCCACAUCUUGUGAACAAUAUUCGUGAGAAUCCUAGGUACACGAAGAUGACGCCCGAGGAGAUCCUUGGAAAGUUCGUAAGCGGACGGAUGAUGAUCAAGGAGGCUAGAUACGUCGACGAUGCAUUAAAUGGCCCAAUCCAAGAGCCUCAAACUAUUGCUCUCAAGGCAACAAGGAGCAAGGAGGCGCUACCUAACAAGGUGGCGCAAGUUGAGGCGGUCGGGCUUAAUGAUGAAGAGAUGGCCCUCAUCAUCAAGCGGUUCAAGACGGCGCUAAAGGGUCGCAAGGAGCACCCCAACAAGAACAAGACGAAAGGGAAGCGCUCCUGCUUCAAAUGUGGUAAGAUUGGUCAUUUUAUCUCUAAUUGUCCCGAUAAUGAUAGUGACCAGGAAAAGAAGAGUGGAAAGUGGGAAAAGAAGAAGAACUACAAGAAGGCGAAGGACGAGGCACAUCUUGGAAAGGAGUGGGAUUCGGAUUGCUCCUCGUCCGACUCCGACAACGAAGGACUCACCGCCACCGCCUUCAACAAGUCAUCCCUCUUCCCCAACGAGCAUCAUACUUGCCUCAUGGCAAGGGAAAAGAAGGUAAGCACUCGUAAUACUAGUACUUAUGCUUCUUCAAGUGAGGAUGAGUCUAGUGAUGAUGAUGAAAUAGAUUAUUCAUGUUUAUUCAAGGGCCUAGAUAGAACUAAGGUUGAUAAAAUUAAUGAAUUAAUUGAUGCCUUGAAUGAUAAGAAUAGGUUAUUAGAAAAGCAAGAGGAUCUUUUGUAUGAAGAGCAUGAUAAAUUUGUUAGUGCACAAAAUUCUCUUGCUCUAGAAGUUAAAAGGAAUGAAAUGCUUUCUUGUGAAUUAUCUACUUGUCAUGAAACCAUUUCUACUUUAAAAGGUGUUAAUGAUGAUUUAAAUGCUAAACUAGAAGUAGCAAAUAAAUCUAACUCUUGUGUAGAACAUGUUAUGAUUUGCACUAGGUGUAAAGAUUUUAACGUUGAUGAUUGUAAUGAACACCUAGUUUCAAUUUCUAAAUUGAAUGAUGAAGUGGCUAGUCUUAAUGCCCAACUUAAGACUAGCAAGAGUGAAUUUGAUAAACUAAAAUUUGCAAGGGAUGCCUACACAGUUGGUAGACACCCCUCAAUUAAGGAUGGCCUUGGCUUCAAGAGGGAAGCCAAGAACUUGACAAGUCAUAAGGCUCCCAUCUCCAUCAAGGAGAAAGGGAAGGCCCCUAUGGCUAGUAGUGCUCAAAAGAACCAUGCCUUCAUGUAUCAUGAUAGGAGACAUUCUAGAAAUGUUUAUAGAAGUUAUGAUGCUUUUAAUUCUCAUACCAUGGUUGCUUCUAGUUCUUCUAUUAUGCAUGAUAGAAAUUUAGCUAGGAGAAAUGUUAUUAAUCACAUGCCUAGAAGAAAUGUUGUUCAUGUUUCUAGGAAAAUAAUAAAUGAACCUUCUACAAUUUAUCAUGCUUGCAAUGCUUCAUUCGAAAUUUGUAGAAAGGAUAGAAAAGUGAUUGCUAGGAAACUAGGGGCAAAAUGCAAGGGUGAUAAAACUUGCAUUUGGGUCCCUAAGGAUAUUGUCACUAACCUUGUAGGACCCAACAAGAGUUGGGUACCUAAGACCCAAGUCUAAAUUUGCCUUGCAGGUUUAUGCAUCCGGGGGAUCAAGCUGGAUUAUCGACAGCGGAUGCACAAACCACAUGACGGGGGAGAAGAAGAUGUUUACCUCCUACGUCAAGAACAAGGAUUCCCAAGAUUAAAUAAUAUUUGGUGAUGGGAAUCAAGGCAAGGUGAAAGGGUUAGGGAAAAUUGCUAUUUCAUCUGAGCACUCUAUUUCUAAUGUGUUUUUAGUUGAGUCGCUUGGAUAUAAUUUGUUAUCUGUUAGUCAAUUAUGCAGUAUGGGAUAUAAUUGUCUAUUCACAAAUGUAGAUGUGUCUGUCUUUAGAAGAAGGUGAUGGUUCAUUAGCUUUUAAGGGUGUAUUAGACGACAAACUCUAUUUAGUUGAUUUUGCAAAAGAGGAGGCCGGUCUAGAUGCAUGCUUAAUUGCUAAGACUAGCAUGGGCUGGCUGUGGCAUCGCCGCUUAGCACAUGUGGGGAUGAAGAACUUUCACAAGCUUCUAAAGGGAGAACACGUGAUAGGUCUAACUAAUGUUACCUUCGAAAAAGAUAGACCUUAUGCAGCUUGUCAAGCAGGGAAACAAGUGGGAAGCUCUCAUCAUGCCAAAAAUGUGAUGACAACAUCAAGACCCCUGGAGUUACUUCAUAUGGACCUCUUCGGACCCGUCGCCGAUCUAAGCAUAGGAGGAAGUAAGUAUGGUCUUGUUAUAGUUGAUGAUUUUUCCCGCUUCACUUGGGUAUUCUUUUUGCAGGAUAAAUCUGAAACCCAAGGGACCCUCAAGCGCUUCCUAAGGAGAGCUCAAAACGAGUUUGAGCUCAAGGUGAAGAAGAUCAGAAGCGACAAUGGGUCCGAGUUCAAGAACCUUCAAGUGGAGGAGUAUCUUGAGGAGGAAGGAAUCAAGCACGAGUUCUCCGCUCCCUACACACCACAGCAAAAUGGUGUGGUAGAGAGGAAGAACAGGACACUUAUAGACAUGGUGAGGACGAUGCUUGGAGAGUUCAAGACACCCGAGCGCUUUUGGGCGGAAGCCAUGAACACGGCUUGCCACGCCAUCAACCGGGUCUACCUUCAUCGCCUCCUCAAGAAGACUUCGUAUGAGCUACUAACCGGUAACAAACCCAAUGUUUCGUAUUUCCGAGUUUUUGGGAGUAAAUGCUACAUUCUAGUGAAGAAGGGUAGGAAUUCCAAAUUUGCUCCCAAAGCAGUAGAAGGGUUUUUGUUAGGUUAUGACUCAAAUACAAAGGCGUAUAGGGUCUUCAACAAAUCAUCGGGUUUGGUUGAAGUCUCUAGCGACGUUGUAUUUGAUGAGACUAAUGGCUCUCCAAGAGAGCAAGUUGUUGAUCUUGAUGAUGUAGAUGAAGAAGACGUUCCAACGGCCGCAAUGCGCACCAUGGCGAUUGGAGAUGUGAGGCCAAUGGAACAAAAGGAGCAAGAUCAACCUUCUUCCUCAACAACAGUGCAUCCCCCAACUCAAGAAGAUGAACAGGUUCAUCAAGAGGAGGCGUGUGAUCAAGGGGGAGCACAAGAUGUUCAUGUGAUAGAGGAAGAAGCGCAACCGGCACCUCCAACUCAAGUUCGAGCGACGAUUCAAAGGGUAGAAGAGGCCUUGCUAGAUCCGGACUGGGUGUUGGCCAUGCAAGAGGAGCUCAACAACUUCAAGAGAAAUUAAGUUUGGACACUGGUGCCUCGUCCCAAGCAAAAUGUUGUGGGAACAAAGUGGGUGUUCCGCAACAAACAAGACGAGCACGGAGUGGUGACAAGGAACAAGGCACGACUUGUGGCAAAAGGUUAUGCCCAAGUCGCAGGUUUGGACUUUGAGGAGACUUUUGCUCCUGUGGCUAGGCUAGAGUCCAUUCGUAUAUUGCUAGCGUAUGCCGCUCACCAUUCUUUCAGGCUGUUCCAAAUGGAUGUGAAGAGCGCUUUCCUCAACGGGCCAAUCAAGGAGGAGGUGUACGUGGAGCAACCCCUGGCUUUGAGGAUGAACGGUACCCCGACCACGUAUAUAAGCUCUCUAAGGCGCUCUAUGGACUUAAGCAAGCCCCAAGAGCAUGGUAUGAAUGCCUUAGAGACUUUUUAAUUGCUAAUGCUUUCAAGGUUGGGAAAGCCGAUCCAACUCUUUUUACUAAGACUUGUGAUGGUGAUCUUUUUGUGUGCCAAAUUUAUGUCGAUGACAUAAUAUUUGGUUCUACUAACCAAAAGUCUUGUGAAGAGUUUAGCAGAGUGAUGACUCAAAAGUUUGAGAUGUCAAUGAUGGGCGAGUUAAGCUACUUCCUUGGGUUCCAAGUGAAACAACUCAAGGAUGGGACCUUCAUCUCACAAUCGAAGUACACGCAAGACUUGAUCAAGCGAUUUGGGAUGAAGGAUGCCAAGCCCGCAAAGACUCCAAUGGGAACCGACGGACACACCGACCUCUACAAAGGAGGUAAGUCCGUUGAUCAAAAGGCAUACCGGUCUAUGAUAGGGUCUUUACUUUAUUUAUGUGCUAGUAGACUGGAUAUUAUGCUUAGUGUAUGCAUGUGUGCUAGAUUUCAAUCCGAUCCAAGGGAUUGUCACUUAGUGGCUGUGAAGCGAAUUCUUAGAUAUUUAGUCGCUACGCCUUGCUUCGGGAUCUAGUAUCCAAAGGGGUCUACCUUUGACUUGAUUGGAUAUUUAGACCCCGACUAUGCUGGAUGUAAGGUCGAUAGGAAGAGUACAUCGGGGACGUGCCAAUUCUUAGGAAGGUCCCUGGUGUCGUGGAGUUCAAAGAAACAAACUUCUGUUGCCCUAUCCACCGCUGAGGCCGAGUACGUUGCCGCAGGACAGUGUUGCGCGCAACUACUUUGGAUGAGGCAAACCCUCAGGGACUUUGGCUACAAUUUGUGCAAAGUCCCACUCCUAUGUGAUAAUGAGAGUGCUAUCCGCAUGGCGGAUAAUCCUGUUGAACAUAGCCGCACAAAGCACAUAGACAUCCGGCAUCACUUUUUGAGAGACAACCAGCAAAAGGGAGAUAUCGAAGUGUUUCAUGUUAGCACCGAGAACCAGCUAGCCGAUAUCUUUACCAAGCCUCUAGAUGAGAAGACCUUUUGCAGGUUGCAUAGUGAGCUAAAUGUCUUAGAUUCGCGGAACUUGGAUUGAUGUGUAGCAUACAUGUGUUUUAUGCCUUGAUCAUGUUCCUUAAUGCAUUUUGUUGAUUAAUUAUGGUGCUCAAGUUGUACAAGCACUCCCCGGACCUCACAAGUCCAUUUGCAAGUGAUGCACAUAUUUAGGGGGAGUUGUGCUACAACUUGACCCUUUGAGACUAACUGUGUGCUUGAGUUUGCUUAAUUUAGUCUCAAAGGAGGUUGAAAGGGAAAAGGUGGACUUGGACCAUGCAAGACCUCCACUGCACUCCGAUGAAAGAGUAACUGAUUCCAAGUUCAUCUUUGUACUCUUAUUGCCUUUUUUACUCUUAGUUGAAGAUUUUGGUGAGGCAAUGGGGUUAAAGGGCCAAAAUUGAUCCCGUUUUGGUGCUUGAUGCCAAAGGGGGAGAAAAUAAGGCCAAAGCAAGGAAAUGGAUCAGCUACCACUUGAGAAUUUUGAAAAAGAAGAGUUAGAGUUUUUGUUUGUCAAAAUACUCCUGUUUGUCUCUUAUUGUCAAAAGUUGGUCUCUUGUGGGGGAGAAGGCUUAAUUAUGGGAAAAAGGGGGAGUUUUUGAACUCUUUGAUGAAUUUCUCUUGAAAUAUCUCUCUUUAUGUUUCAACAAGUGUGUUUAGAAAUUGAGUUUGAUUUGCAAAAACAAACCAAGUGGUGGCAAAGAAUGAUCCAUAUAUGUCAAAUCUGAAUCAAAACAAUUUUGAGUUCUUAGUUGAAUUGAUUUUGCACUUGUUCUACUUACUUUAUGUUGUGUUGGCAUAAAUCACCAAAAAGGGGGAGAUUGAAAGGGAAAUGUGCCCUUAGGCCAUUUCUAAGUAUUUUGGUGAUUUAGUGUCCAACACAAGUGCCUAAGUGUUAAAUGGUGGACAAAGUACAAAUCGAGUAUAAAGGUAUGUUUCUUAGACUUAGUACAUUGUUUUAGAGACUAAUGUAUUAUGUCUAAGUGCUGGAAACAGGAUAAUCAAGUUGAAACUAAAGAUGGCUUUGUUCAGCCAAAGUCAACUCUGUCUGGGUGCACCGGACUGUCCGGUGGUGCACCGGACAGUGUCCGGUGCGCCAGGCUAGCUCAGGCAAACUUGCUGCUCUCGGGAAGUGAUUAACGGCGUACGACUAUAAUUCACCGGACUGUACGGUGUGCACCGGACUGUCCGGUGAGCCAACGGUCGGCCGGGCCAACGGUCGGCCGCGCGAUUCGCGCGAGACACGUGGCCGAGCCAACGGUUAGAAGGGGGCACCGGACUGUCCGGUGUGCACCGGACAGUGUCCGGUGCGCCAACGGCUCUCAAGUGCCAACGGUCGGCUUCGCCGAAGAAGGAAAGAAAUCCGCACCGGACAGUGUCCGGUGCGCCAGGCGACAGAAGGCAAGAAUUGCCUUCUUGAAUUGCUCUCAACGGCUCCUAGCUGCCUUGGGGCUAUAAAAGGGACCCCUAGGCGCAUGGAGGAGAACACCAAGCAUUCUCUAAGCAUUCCUAAGCACCAAGACUUCGAUUCCGCGCAUUUGAUUCUUUGUGAUAGCAAUUGGAGCUCUAUUUGAGUUGUGAACUCAUCGAGUUGUGUUGUGAGCUCUUGUUGCGACUUGUGUGCGUGUUGUCGCUCUAAUUUUGUGUCUUGUGUGCGUUGCUCAUCCCUUCCUUACUCCGUGCUUCUUUGUGAACAUCAAAGUGUAAGGGCGAGAGACUCCAAGUUGUGGAGAUUCCUCGCAAGUGGGAUAUAGUAAAGUGAAAGCAAAACACCGUGGUAUUCAAGUGGGUCUUUGGACCGCUUGAAAGGGGUUGAUUGCAACCCUCGUCCAUUGGGACGCCACAACGUGGAGUAGGCAAGUGUUGGACUUGGCCGAACCACGGGAUAAACCACUGUGCCACCUCUGUGUUGAUCUCUUUGUGGUUAUCGUGUUGUGCAAGCUCUCUUCUCUAGCCACUUGGCUUAAUUGUGCUAACUCCAAAUCAAGUUUUGUGGAUUAAGUUUCAAGUUUUCACAGGAUCACCUAUUCACCCCCUCUAGGUGCUCUCAAAGCCGGGCUGCGGCUUCCCUCCUGCCCUCAGCUUCAAGGAUGUUCAUCAUCCUCGCUGGGGCGGAAGGCGCGUCGAGCCGGGGUUCUGCCUCCCGUGUGGGCCAGCGGCCCGCUUCUUCCUCCAACAUUUGGGGGAGGAGAGGGGUUCAACAGCCACGCGAAGGAGGCGAACUUCGGCUAUGCGGGGCCGGCCAUGUGCAGGCGCUGACAGCUGCCGCGUGCCUGGCUCUUGGCCUGGGUGGCCCUGUCGCCGCCUCCGACGCUGCCUCCUGCCGUUUGGUCGGGGCGUGGCUGUCCGUCCACCACACGGGCGACCGUCGCGCCGUGCGCGGGUCCGCCACAUCCACGGCUUCUCCCGCGCCGCCGGCCAUACGGGGGGACCGUCCAAGACGCCGUACGUUGCGAGAGUGGUGGUGGCGUUCUUGGAUGGUCUUGUCCUCACUCCGUGGGAGGACGGGAGCGAGGACCUCUUAUGCGGAGGUGGCCGUGGUCGUCGGUGCUGAGGCGGUGGCUGCCGCUGGUGAGGCUGCCCCUUGCAGAGGUGGUUGCCUCCUCUAUCGAGACCAUCAGGGCCACCUGCCACUGAGUCCUUGACUCUUUGGCUUUAAUGGCCUCGUUAUCGCCCCCUAUAGGAGGACGGGGGCGAGGACCUUUCACAGCCGCGCUCACCCUGAGGUGGUCGCUGCUGCUGGCAUACCGCCCAAAGCGGAGGUCGUUGUCGCUGCUGAUGCAGAGGUGGUCGCUGUUGCCGGCGAUCCGUCGAUGCAGAGGUGGUCGCCGCCGCUGGUGAGGCAGCCCGGAGCCAGCUUCCAGCGCGACUCUUGUUGGUGCAGCGUAGUCCAUUCCUGCAGAGAUGGAGCUGGGUCCCGUUUGUAAGGGAAUGUAAUAACAUUUGCUUGAAAGCAAAAUGUAAUAACAUAUGUAUGCAGGAUUUUAGCCUGGGAAACCAAGUUGUGUGUCCGAACCCCCUAGAUGGUGGCUUCAUGUACCAAGACACCUGUCGCAGGGCGGUGGAGUAUGCAGGCUCACGGCACGGGACCAGGCUGAGUGGAUACAUGGCUUCCGGACCCCCCAGGAGACAAGUGUUUGUUCUUCAAAACCGGACCUCCAGUUCGUUGGACGCACAGGACUAUAGUUUUAAAUACUAGAACACCUGUCAUGGAGUGGUGGAGUGUGCAGGGUUUUGGGUACGGAACCAGGCUAACCGGCCACAUAGGCUCUGGACCACCCUAUGGAACAGGCAUCCGUUCCUUAGAACCGACCCCUAGGCCUUCCCCUGUUUUUGUAAAGUAAUAGAUAAUAUCUAUUAAGCAGUAUUUAACACUUAUCUGUGUGUUGCUCGAUCCUGUUGUUAACUUCCCUUGGUACCUGGCCCCCCGCCUGGGGUACAGGCUCGAUGUGUCGAGGCUAGACACCAGCGCGUAUAAAAGAGUUGUCAACGUCCUUCGGGAGGCAGCCUCACCGAGACCUGGAUCUAUACAUAGCUUUAGCUGAAAAGUGUUAGUGAUACACCCGUAGACCCCGUCAUCUGGCAUUUUUCAUCCUUUGAUACAUGCUCGGUAUUUGCAGUGUUUUGGCUAGGGGAAGCAAGUUGUGUGUCCGGACCCCCUGGAUGGUGGUUCUAGAUACUAGGACGCUUGUCACAGAGUGGUAGAACAUGCAGGCCCACGGUACGGGACCAGGCUGAGCGGCUACAUGGUUCCGGACCACCCCAGGAGACAAGCGUCUCUUCUCUAGUUUCAGACCCCAAGUUGUCGGACCCACAGGACUUAUAGCUCUAAGUACAAGGGUGCUCAUCACGGAGUGUUGGAGUGUGCAAGGUUUUGGGUACGGAACCAGGCUAACCGGCCGCACAGGCUCCGGACCACCCCAUGAAACGAGCACUCGUUCCUCAGAGCCGGCCCCCAGACUGUCGGGUCCCCCCUGCUUUCACAUAGAGGUCCUAAACUACAACUCUGGCUGUUCAAUCCAGAUGUCAUUAUGCCUGGUGGGAUGGGAGCAGGGCAGGUGGGUUAGAUAAAACACUAUCAGAAACUGCAGGGUGAGACCGUGGAGCAGUAGGAAAUUGCUAUCAUAGAGGCAUAUCUUGAGAGGGUAGUUUUCCUUUAUAGCUAAUCAUGCAUGGGUGCAGGCCAACAGGCCGGGUUUAUGGGGCACACCCUACCGGGUUGGCACACCCGUGUGCACUACCUAGUUACAAAAAGGGAAAAACUUUGACCCCUUAGACUUGCUCUAUAGAUAAAACUUACAGAGAUAUUUUGACAUUGGGGGAGGCAUUCCUUCAGUCGUAGCUAGACAGUUGCCCUUGGGUCGGGGUACUCACAUUACCAUGAAGGGUCCUUCCCAGCUGGGGGAGUGUUACGGAGCCCUAAUUUGGUCUGGUACCUUUGUAGGAUUAGGUCCCGACCCUGGGUUCCCAUCUGCAUUUGACGAAGGAGGCCCCGCCUUUGGCUGUGGUCAUUCCUGGAUGAACCUAUCAGAAAGCUGGACCCGUGGGGAAUCCAGAUGGGUUUCUGGAGGAAGGUUGUCACACCCGGUUUUGGAAGGCAAACCGAAUGCGAACUAUGUACGUGCCAGGAUCAGAAUUCACGUACACAGCGAUUACAUAAAUGAACAUCAUCGCACAGUGCUCGAAUAAAAACAUGAAAGGGUAUUAACUUAUUACAUCACAGAGUCAUAGACAUCCACAUAGUCAUCAACUUAACAGUUAAAUCAAAGUGCUAGCGAAACACAGUAAAGAUAAGGCCUUCACAGGCAGCUGACUGGGGGUUGCCGCCAACCCACACCUAGAAUUCGUCGUAGUCUUGAAACUCCUGGAAGUCUCCUUCCACGACUUCGUCUUCUCCUGAGCAGUGGUUGCAAUGUGGACAACCUGGUGUUUGGUGGUAAAGCAAGGAUGAGUACACAUCAACGUACUCAGCAAAUGUCCCGUUUGGCUGAAGUGGACUAGCUUUAUGUGGGGCUAGGCUCAAGCAGUUGCUUUUAGUUGGUCAGGUAUUUAUUAUUAGUAGGAGCCAGGUUUUAUCAUAAAACCCAAGUUAUAAUCCCAAAAAGUACUUCCUCAGAGAAGAAAUACUAGAAAACAUAAUUAAAGUCACCAUCUGAAGUGUAUCCGGAGUAUCUCUAAUCAAAGAGGAUCCCAAGGCUGCUCUUAACCGUGAGCACGGCUGAUAUACUAGUUUCACUACCCUCUGCAGAGGUCGCACACUUUACCCAUGAGCCGUGAUUCCCUCUCUAGCCCGGGCUUGCAAGACCCUUAUUCACUCCCAAGGUGAAUGGCCAGGGAUUCACUACGAAGCCUUUACAAAGAUUCCCUAGAGGUCAUAGCUGCCCGUUAGGUUUCUCCAGUUUGAUAAACACAGUACCUCUCCCCGCAGGAAGGUGACUAAAAAGCAAAACGAAAGAACCUCGGCACUCAGCCUCGGUAGAGCAAGCACUGUGCCUGGACCCCAUUGACGGCACGACGGCGAAGCAACUACACUUCUAGUUCCUCUAAUUAAUUAGCUAAGGGCACCCCAUUCCACCCUCAUGGUUGCACUGUUAUCCCGGGUGGUCUCUCAACGAACAGGUCCUUAUGGAGAGGUACUCGAGAAACUGCUCGAGUCCCCUAAAUGCCACAAGUACAUCAUCAUAUCCAGAAUAAAAUCAUAGUAUCAUCAUUGUAUCUCAUAAUGUUCAUUGAUUAAAGUAAAGCGCUAGCAUGUAGCUAACCAUAGUAACCCAAAAGGUAAAUCAAGGACAAGGUGAAUAGAAAGCUAGUAAAUCCUUAGGUUUCAAUUAAGUAAUGCGGGAUAGUGAAUUAUAAGUGAAUAGGACAUAAUGGGUCAGAGGACACUUGCCUUCACCAAAUAGAUGCUCAGGGUCUUCAACCUUGCAGAACUCGAAGAACCAGGUCACUUGGUCACCGAAGCUUGACCGUCGAUUCCUCGAAGCUCGAAAACGGAUCAUAAUCUAAUCGCAACGCGAAGCGAAGACAAACAGGCACAAGCAAACAAACAUAUAUAUGCAUAAGAACGUUACACCAUGCCAAAGAGAACAUAAUAAAAACAUGCAAUACGAAAUAGAGCUCGCUACUACGGUCACGCAAGGAAAAGAACACGAUAGUCUGAGCUAUGGUCGAGAGGUUAUGACGUUUACGCUACGCUAGUAAUAGUCAGGACAUUUAAUUCGACAUUUUCAAAUAUAACUUAUAACUGUCAUUUAGUUUUGAUUAAAUUUAUUACACUAAUAGCUGUCAAAUAAGUAAGUAAUAUAGUUAGCACGAGAGAUUUUAAGCGAGGUGAGUUUACGAUGCAGGAAAAAGCAUGACAUAGCACGCUGACAACACACCAAACGAUGCGCGCGACCAGCGUGAACGACGCGCGAACCAGCACGCCACCACGAGCACAUUACGCGUGAACAGCGUGCAGACAGUGCGACGAUGUGUGAUACUCGCUAACAUAUAACGAGACUAUACUAACCAAGUAUUAAAUGAAAAGUGUUUAAGUUGGUGUUCAUCAAGUUAACAUUUAUCUAUAAAAUCGUGAGUUAGAAAUUAUAAACUAGUUUUAAUUAGAAGACCAUUUUUAAUAAGUAUUGAAUGAACAAAUAAUUAAAUAAUUAAAUAAUUAAAACUUGUGACAUGAUAAAAUACAUUACUAAUACGAAAUCGACGCGACUGAACAAUUAAUUUAGAACAAACACGUUAUGCCGCAGCGAAUCGAUAUCAUGUCUACACUAACCAAACAUAAAUGGUAGACUAACCAAACAUGAAUGAAAACGCUUCGGAUUGAUACAACUACCUUAAUAGAUAUUAACGAAGCGUAGAAUUAAAAUUACAAAUUUGUUUUCGGUUGAAUUGUUAUUUUAAUAACCGACCACUAAACAACUAAUUACUAAUUAAUAAUUUAACAUGCAUGAAGUGGCGAAAUGAUUUUACUAAAACGCGCAACUAGCGAUUUGCGUGAAAGACGGCACGAGCGAAACAUACGAGAAAUACUAAAUAGAGAGUGUGUUUAUACUAAAGAAGUAUUAUUUCGAAAACAUUCUAUUAGACGUAAUUAUAUUAACAUGUAUUUAUAAAGUGAAUCUAAACUAUAAAUGAGUUCAAUUAAUUGCUACUUUAAUAAUUGUCAGAUAAAUAGAUGACCAAUUAAUUAACAUUAGAAAGUGCAUGAUGAUAAAGUAAUGUUACCUAAUACAUCGUUAAUAUAGCUCUACGAAGCUAACACAAAAGAAAUAAGUCGAAACGGAUUUACAACACAAAUAUAUUGGAUAUUUAAUGGUUCGCGGAAUCUAAACGAUGUGGCACGCAACAGCGCGCGCAAACCGCACGUGAACAGUAACAAUGACACAUGCGGAUAGCACAAGCAGUCCGUGCGACAACUCGCGGGCAGUGCACGGGCAACAGCGCAAGACGCGAACUCGCAAACGCUACAAAGAUGCGACGACGUGCGCGAACAACACGACAAGCGGGAAAUCAUUAACAGAUAUCGUGCUUAGAAUGAACACAUAUUAAACAAAUAUAAACAUUUAAUUUGGCUUAAAUCAUGUUAACGUCCAUUUACACGUGCGCAAAUUAAAACUAUACAUUAGUUUUAAUUAGAUCUCUACUUUAACAUCCAUCAGAUAAACAAACAAACAAUUAAUUAGUUAAAACACUUGUCACGAUAAAAUAAUAUUAUUAACUCGCCGGUAACGUUAUUACAAAGCUAAUGCAAGUUGAACAAAGGGAAUCGAAUUUUAUAACGCAACAUAUAUUAAUUAUUUAGUACUUCACUGAUUUUAAACGACGUGGCUAAUUAUUAUUGGUUAGAGGCUGGCCACACCUAUGGUCACACGAAACACAGCCAUAGAGGAUCCCAAGCUUAGGAUCACAUGUGGCUAGCUUCUUCUCUGUUGUAACCGCACAACGCAGAACGCACGACGGUUCUUCUUCCUUGGAGUUUGGACAGGAAAACUGGCAUGGGGAAGAGGGAAGGAGGGGCCAGCUGAGGCCUCACCGGCCAGCUAGCCAGGCCGCCGCGGGGUAGAGGGAGUUGGGUCUGGCCGCUAGCCGGGCCACGCCGCGGCUGCCAGGUUGGGGCGCCGGGCGAGGGCGCUGAUGGACGGACGGCUGGUCGCGGUGCGCGGCGGCUCGCCGGGGCUGCUGGUCGCCACGCCGGGCAAGCCGUGCCUGUUGCUGCGCGCGCUGGCCGCUGCGCUGGGUGAGCCACCGGCUGGCCGCGCCGAGGACGAGGCCAGGCUCGCGCGCCAGCCUAGGGAGCUCGUCGGGGAAGGGCCUCAGCCAUGGCUACGGCACGGCGGCGUACCGCGAGCAGGGCCCGAGGGGCUCCCCGCCGGGGCCAGGGAGAGGGAUGGGAGAAGAACGCGUGGGGAGGGAGAGGAAGAAGGAUCCGUGAGUACCUGGUAACAGUCGCCCUUCACGCCUGCGAUCUGGAUCUGGGGAAACGAUCUGGAUCUGGGGGAAGUCAGGAGGUUUUGCGAUGGCUAGAGUAGUAUUUGUAGAAAAGAGAGGAUGUGGAAGGCGGUUGUAAAAUUUGUCGCAGGUUGCGUCCUGGCCGAGCCAAAGCGACGAUCGCGCGAUGAGUUGCACGAUACAGUAAACGACGGAGACCGAGUUAGGCAGAGGUAGGCGAUGGUAGAUGAAAUAAAGGGGUAACAGGUGUGCGAGCAGCAAACGUUCACGAGGAGGAAAUCCGGUUUGACGACCUCGCGAAAAUGACACAAAUCAUAGAACGAGUUCGACGAGAGGAACACAU
rnacentral:lncRNA from 1 species